rnacentral:rRNA from 1 species
GAUGAACGCUAGCGGCAGGCCUAAUACAUGCAAGUCGGACGGGAUCCAUCGGAGAGCUUGCUCGAAGAUGGUGAGAGUGGCGCACGGGUGCGUAACGCGUGAGCAACCUACCUCUAUCAGGGGGAUAGCCUCUCGAAAGAGAGAUUAACACCGCAUAACAUCAACAGUUCGCAUGUCCGGUUGAUUAAAUAUUUAUAGGAUAGAGAUGGGCUCGCGUGACAUUAGCUAGUUGGUAGGGUAACGGCCUACCAAGGCGACGAUGUCUAGGGGCUCUGAGAGGAGAAUCCCCCACACUGGUACUGAGACACGGACCAGACUCCUACGGGAGGCAGCAGUAAGGAAUAUUGGUCAAUGGGCGGAAGCCUGAACCAGCCAUGCCGCGUGCAGGACGACUGCCCUAUGGGUUGUAAACUGCUUUUGUCCAGGAAUAAACCUCUUUACGUGUAGAGAGCUGAAUGUACUGGAAGAAUAAGGAUCGGCUAACUCCGUGCCAGCAGCCGCGGUAAAGA